AUACUUUGUGUUUGAGCCUUGAGUACUAGAAGAAAAGCACCAAUACCUAACAAAAUUAAGUGAAUACCCAAAAUUGUAGUCAUUU